rnacentral:rRNA from 1 species
AGUGGCGGACGGGUGAGUAACGCGUGGGUAACCUGCCCUAGAGAGGGGGAUAACACCGCGAAAGUGGUGCUAAUACCGCAUGAAGCUAUUUGAUUGCAUAGUCGGAUAGCCAAAGGAGCAAUCCGCUCUGGGAUGGACCCGCGUCUGAUUAGCUAGUUGGUGAGGUAACGGCUCACCAAGGCGACGAUCAGUAGCCGGCCUGAGAGGGUGAACGGCCACACUGGGACUGAGACACGGCCCAGACUCCUACGGGAGGCAGCAGUGGGGAAUCUUCCGCAAUGGGCGAAAGCCUGACGGAGCAACGCCGCGUGAAUGAUGAAGGCCUUCGGGUUGUAAAAUUCUGUCUUCAGGGAAGAAAAAAAUGACGGUACCUGAGGAGGAAGCCCCGGCUAACUACGUGCCAGCAGCCGCGGUAAUACGUAGGGGGCAAGCGUUGUCCGGAAUUACUGGGCGUAAAGAGCGUGUAGGCGGAUAAUUAAGUCAGAUGUGAAAACUUGGGGCUCAACCGCAAGAGUGCAUCUGAUACUGGUAAUCUUGAGGGUAUGAGAGGGAAACGGUAUUCCUAGUGUAGCGGUGAAAUGCGUAGAUAUUAGGAGGAACACCAGUGGCGAAGGCGGUUUUCUGGCAUACAACUGACGCUGAGACGCGAAAGCGUGGG